AAUAUUUAUGCACUAAGCAGUUACAGCACCCUUUCUUCUUUUCUCAUCUGCCCAUGUCAGGCAGACACGAGCAGUGACGAGGGGGUUAAUUCCUGCUCAACAGGCACACUAGUGAAUUCAGGGCUCUGCAUAGCAUGGUGCGGGGCUGGCAGCAGACGUGUGCGACAGCAGUGAGAUGCCGUACCAGCCUGUCCAGUUUUCCCUCACGUUUUCCAGCUGUUUACCCUUGAGAUGUAAAAUGGCAAUUUGGCAUAGGCUACCGGCACGGUGUGAUGUGAGCAUCUGCGUAAAAGGCUGCACGGAUGGAGCAUGCCCAGUGCUCUGAGCAGCCCAUUACCCCACCCCCAGCCAAUCUAGGAGGAGAUGAAAUGAACUUUGCACUUGCAAAUGUCACUGAAUGCAUUUUGCACAGGAUUUUAAAAGGUUCUCUUACAAGCACUAUUUUUAACAGCCAAAUCCGCCCCCCCAAAUGAAAAAGCCCUAGGUAUUUUUCUGUGAUCGACCUCAGUUAUUAUCAAUUGAAGCAUCUCUCACAACAUUUACCUGAAGUCUGGCGUGUUUUAUUUUUUUAUCAUUCAAGCUGAGCUUUUUUUGGUGGUGGUGUGGAUAUUUUCUCUUUUUUUUCUGAUUUUUUUUUUUUAACUGGCAUGAGAAAAUUUGUGAAUUUAAUUGCACUAGAAUACUUGGAAACAGUGAGGCUGCAAGCUUGAAAGGCAGAGGGAAGAAAAGAAAGGCUCUCGCAGCAGAGCAUGGAUAGGAAAGGAGCGGUGAUUCUGCGGUGCUCAGCGUGCACAUGUUGUGUGAGAUCAGUGCCGGGCGCUGCAGCUGCGGACAAUAACUGAGCUGUCUGGCUAAUGAAGGCCACCUGGAUCAGGCUUCUGAAAAGAGCCAAAGGAGGACGUCUGAAGAAUUCUGAUAUCUGUGGCUCGGCGGACUCCUACACCAGCCGUCCAUCCGACUCUGAUGUAUCUCUGGAAGAAGACAGGGAAGCAGUGCGGAGAGAGGCAGAGCGACAGGCCCAGGCACAGUUGGAAAAAGCAAAG